AACGAACGCUGGCGGCAGGCCUAACACAUGCAAGUCGAGCGAAGCCUUCGGGCUUAGCGGCGGACGGGUGAGUAACGCGUGGGAACGUGCCCUCUGGUACGGAAUAGCCCCGGGAAACUGGGAGUAAUACCGUAUGUGGUCGAGAGACGAAAGAUUUAUCGCCAAAGGAUCGGCCCGCGUUGGAUUAGGUAGUUGGUGGGGUAAUGGCCUACCAAGCCGACGAUCCAUAGCUGGUUUGAGAGGAUGAUCAGCCACACUGGGACUGAGACACGGCCCAGACUCCUACGGGAGGCAGCAGUGGGGAAUCUUAGACAAUGGGGGAAACCCUGAUCUAGCCAUGCCGCGUGAUCGAUGAAGGCCUUAGGGUUGUAAAGAUCUUUCAGUGGGGAAGAUAAUGACUGUACCCACAGAAGAAGCCCCGGCUAACUCCGUGCCAGCCGCCGCAGAA
rnacentral:rRNA from 1 species